AUUGAACGCUGGCGGCAGGCCUAACACAUGCAAGUCGAACGGUAACAGGAAGAAGCUUGCUUCUUUGCUGACGAGUGGCGGACGGGUGAGUAAUGUCUGGGAAACUGCCUGAUGGAGGGGGAUAACUACUGGAAACGGUAGCUAAUACCGCAUAACGUCGCAAGACCAAAGAGGGGGACCUUCGGGCCUCUUGCCAUCGGAUGUGCCCAGAUGGGAUUAGCUAGUAGGUGGGGUAACGGCUCACCUAGGCGACGAUCCCUAGCUGGUCUGAGAGGAUGACCAGCCACACUGGAACUGAGACACGGUCCAGACUCCUACGGGAGGCAGCAGUGGGGAAUAUUGCACAAAGGGCGCAAGCCUGAUGCAGCCAUGCCGCGUGUAUGAAGAUGGCCUUCGGGUUGUAAAGUACUUUCAGCGGGGAGGAAGGGAGUAAAGUUAAUACCCUUGCUCAUUGACGUUACCCGCAGAAGAAGCACCGGCUAACUCCGUG
rnacentral:rRNA from 1 species